rnacentral:rRNA from 1 species
UACGUAGGGUCCGAGCGUUGUCCGGAGUGACUGGGCGUAAAGCGCGCGCAGGCGGCCCGCGAGGUGUCCUGUGAAAGCCCCGUGCUCAACGCGGGAGGGUCAGGGCAAACCGGCGGGCUUGAGGCCGGUAGAGGUGGGUGGAACUCCUGGUGGAGUGGUGAAAUGCGUAGAGAUCGGGAAGAACACCAGUGGCGAAGGCGGCCGGCUGGGGGCGCCCUGACGCUGAGGCGCGAGAGCGUGGGGAGCAAACCGG